GAUGACUUAGCUCAAUUGGUUGAGAGCAUUACCCUGAUACGGUAAGGGUUGAAAGUUCGAGUCUUUCAGUCAUCA
rnacentral:tRNA from 1 species